rnacentral:rRNA from 1 species
AGAGUUUGAUCAUGGCUCAGGAUGAACGCUGGCGGCGUGCCUAACACAUGCAAGUCGAACGAAGCAUCUUACCGGAUUCUUCGGAUGAAAGUUUGGUGACUGAGUGGCGGACGGGUGAGUAACGCGUGGGUAACCUGCCCUGUACACACGGAUAACAUACCGAAAGGUAUGCUAAUACGAGAUAAUAUGCUUUUAUCGCAUGGUAGAAGUAUCAAAGCUUUUGCGGUACAGGAUGGACCCGCGUCUGAUUAGCUAGUUGGUAAGGUAACGGCUUACCAAGGCGACGAUCAGUAGCCGACCUGAGAGGGUGAUCGGCCACAUUGGAACUGAGACACGGUCCAAACUCCUACGGGAGGCAGCAGUGGGGAAUAUUGCACAAUGGGCGAAAGCCUGAUGCAGCAACGCCGCGUGAGCGAUGAAGGCCAUCGGGUCGUAAAGCUCUGUCCUCAAGGAAGAUAAUGACGGUACUUGAGGAGGAAGCCCCGGCUAACUACGUGCCAGCAGCCGCGGUAAUACGUAGGGGGCUAGCGUUAUCCGGAAUUACUGGGCGUAAAGGGUGCGUAGGUGGUUUCUUAAGUCAGAGGUGAAAGGCUACGGCUCAACCGUAGUAAGCCUUUGAAACUGGGAAACUUGAGUGCGGGAGAGGAGAGUGGAAUUCCUAGUGUAGCGGUGAAAUGCGUAGAUAUUAGGAGGAACACCAGUUGCGAAGGCGGCUCUCUGGACUGUAACUGACACUGAGGCACGAAAGCGUGGGGAGCAAACAGGAUUAGAUACCCUGGUAGU